CACACACUCCCGCACACACAGAUCCUUGCAAGAGCGAAGGAUCUCACUUCUGUACCUCCUCAGAAGAAAAAGGAAGAAAACUGCUCCAGUCUUCAGCUGUGUAAGCCUUCAGAGAGAUAAACAGGGCUGCCCCUUCCUCCUCUGUAAAGACGUGGGAAGCCAGGAAUGGCGCGCAUGUGAAUGAAUCCACCUGCUCUGAUGCUGCAGGCAGUGAGGUUCUGAGUGUGAAUCCUGGGAAAUGGCGUCCAGGCAGAGGCCACGUGGGCGAGGGCCACUCUGUCGCUCUGAGGAGCUCGUGAAAGCUACUGUGUGAAUGAUGUGGCUCCCCCUCCACGCGGGAAACUGUGAGGGGCGCCUGACCACGCCGUGACAAACCAGGUGGUGGUGGGAGGCACCGUCCAGGUGUGUUGCCAUGGUGUCAGCCUGUGUCCUGCACACCAAGAAGUCACCAGAGGGCAUUCUGCUCCUUGAGGAGGUGCGCCUGUGGUCGGCACUGUGCUCUGGGCGCUUUAACUUCAUGAUUCAAGGCGUCGCAGCCUCCACCUUUCCCAUUGGAGUCUCCACAACCCCACCCCACCAACUUCAUCCAACCUGGCCUGGCACAGAGAAGCAUGGCAGGCCCGAACCUGGCUGUUUGUAGCAUCACAGCAAGUCUUCAUUGCUGACUGUCUUAUUCCAACCCUCUAACCAGAAGAGUGACCAAGGAAACCUUCCC
rnacentral:lncRNA from 1 species